CCGACCCGGGCGGUGCAGGGCGGCCACGGGCUCCGUCCCCUCCCAUCCCCUCCCGUCCCGCCUGUGCCACCACCCCCGGGCGGGGGGAGCUGCCUGCCCGUCCCAUAAAGGGCGGCCGCGGCCCCUCAGAGGCUCGGUGCAGAGCAGGGCCCGGGUUCUGCCUCUGCACGGCCGCUGGCCCUCACGCAGGCUCCUCCCGGAGAAAGCCGGAUUCCCCGUCGAGUCGCCGCCAUGGCCUCCGUCCCGUCCGCCGGCUGCCUCCUGGCCAAGAAUCAGUACUACAGGACAAGACUGAACUCGGAAUCCAGCGUUUCUUCCAGCUCCUCCUGCUGUUUGGAUGCUGUGAACAUCACAGACCAGGACAAAGCAUUGCAUGGGUUACCAGAGUUAAUUGAUAAACAUUGGUGGAUAAAAAACUUCUUCCACAGUGAACCCUCUCCACCCACUGUUGGCAGAAAAACACUCUCAGCAAGCAGUACCAACAGUUGAAAAGGACAGCAUGAUGGCUUUUCUGACUGAGAUGCUACAUACAGACUUGUUUUUCCAAGAGGCUUGGGAUCUUCCUAAUGUCUGGGUUCAGCUGCAAGAGGAAAACAAAACCUUUAGGAGAGUGGAAAAGUGUAUUUUCAAAAUAUUUUUUCAGUAGCUAAAAUGAUAUUGCUUAAUGUAUGUAUCCAUGGCCUACUGUGUUCUUUCCAGAUUUGCCAUAAUUUGUGAUGUCUCUCUAAUGAAAGUUUCCAGGAAUAAACAUCCUGAGGACUCAAAUAAUUAGAGAAAA
rnacentral:lncRNA from 1 species